GAGUUGGGACCUUACCAGAGGUUGUGUUCUUACAUUGACCAUAUAAGAGGAAAUAAAGUAAACCUACCACAUAUACACCUCAGCUCAGGCCCUGUGCCUGGUCUGUGUCGUGAGUGGGGAGACAUGG
rnacentral:snoRNA from 1 species